rnacentral:rRNA from 1 species
GACGAACGCUGGCGGCGUGCUUAACACAUGCAAGUCGAACGGAAAGGCCCUGCUUUUGGGGGGUGCUCGAGUGGCGAACGGUUGAGUAACACGUGAGUAACCUGCCCUUGACUUUGGGAUAACUUCAGGAAACUGGGGCUAAUACCGGAUAGGAGCUCCUGCUGCAUGGUGGGGGUUGGAAAGUUUCGGCGGUUGGGGAUGGACUCGCAGCUUAUCAGCUUGUUGGUGGGGUAGUGGCUUACCAAGGCUUUGACGGGUAGCCGGCCUGAGAGGGUGACCGGCCACAUUGGGACUGAGAUACGGCCCAGACUCCUACGGGAGGCAGCAGUGGGGAAUAUUGCACAAUGGGCGGAAGCCUGAUGCAGCAACGCCGCGUGCGGGAUGACGGCCUUCGGGUUGUAAACCGCUUUCGCCUGUGACGAAGCGUGAGUGACGGUAAUGGGUAAAGAAGCACCGGCUAACUACGUG